rnacentral:rRNA from 1 species
GAUGAACGCUAGCGGCAGGCUUAAUACAUGCAAGUCGUGCGGCAGCAGGCCUGUAGCAUUGCAGUUGCUGGCGACCGGCAAAAGGGGGCGGUACAAGUACGCAACCUACCCCUCUCUGGCGGAUUAACCGGGGGAACCCGGAUCAAUAACCGGUAAUAUAGUGGCGUGGCCACACUUUAUUAUUAAAGGUCCGCCGGUUCGGGAGUGGCGUGCGGCGGAUUAGGUAGUUGGUUGAGGUAACGUCUGACCAAGCAUAGGAUCAGUAACUGGUGUGAGAGCACGACCAGUCACACGGGCACUGAGACACGGGCCCGACUCCUACGGGAGGCAGCAGUAAGGAAGAUUGGGCAAGGGAGGCAACUCUGACCCAGCCAGGCCGCGUGGAGGAUGAAGGCCCUCUGGGUUGUAAACUUCUUGUAGAGGGGACGAAACCUGUGUAGUCUUACGCAGUUGACGGUACCCGAGGAAUAAGCACCGGCUAACUCCGUG